rnacentral:rRNA from 1 species
AUUGAACGCUGGCGGCAUGCCUAACACAUGCAAGUCGAACGGAGGUAGGGGCAACUCUACUUCAGUGGCGGACGGGUGAGGAAUGCGUCGGAAUCUACCCUAUGGUGGGGGAUAACACAGGGAAACUUGUGCUAAUACCGCAUGAUGUCGAGAGACCAAAGCAGGGGACCGCAAGGCCUUGCGCGAUAGGAUGAGCCGACGCCCGAUUAGCUAGUUGGUAGGGUAAUGGCCUACCAAGGCGACGAUCGGUAGCUGGUCUGAGAGGAUGAUCAGCCACACUGGGACUGAGACACGGCCCAGACUCCUACGGGAGGCAGCAGUGGGGAAUAUUGGACAAUGGGCGAAAGCCUGAUCCAGCAAUGCCGCGUGUGUGAAGAAGGCCUGCGGGUUGUAAAGCACUUUUGUUCGGGAAGAAAACGGAUCGGUUAAUACCCGGUUCGGAUGACGGUACCGAAAGAAUAAGCACCGGCUAACUUCGUGCCAGCAGCCGCGGU